ACCCACAUUUGGCCCCAGCCCCUGCUCACCUGCCAAGCCAGCCUCACCUGUAUACCAAUUUUGGACGUUGGAAGAGCUCAGAAGCCCGUCUUCUGCAGUUACGGAGGAAGAAAGGUCGCUCUGAAGUCACCUGUCAUACAUUUGGUCUCGUUGACCUGGUUUUUAUAAAUGUUUUCAGAAGAAGUAAAGCCCUUUAUGAGGGAAAAUGCUGAUAAAAGAUUUGAAAUCUUGU
rnacentral:lncRNA from 1 species